CACUGAUUCACAAGGGGGUGGGCCUUGGACGGCGUAUAUGAUUGAAGACAAAUGAGAUGUUAAACCAUUUGGAGACAACGGUGGUGGAGAUGUAGCCGUGUUGGCGGACAGCCCCAACUCCCCUACUUGGUGAGGGGAGGACAGGGGCUGGGGAUGUGGAGGACAACCGUACGACGAAAUGCAAGGAAAGAAACAAGCGGACCCGUUAGAUUAGAAAAUGGACGGGGCCAGUGGGACGUCACGAUGCGCCGUCGCCACAAAGCUCAAUACGCUGCUCAUAAACGCGCUCAUUUGGCUCCCAGCAUGCACGUCCGGAGGGACCGCUGGUUACCAGGAGCUCACCCAAGCUCAGUGCAACCCACCCUGCUGCAUCUGAGGAGGAAACAAAACUUUUGAAAGCACCAUCAAAAGUGAAGAUGAGGGCUUCCCCCAACUUCCAGGUGUUUAGGGGGUUGUGUGUGUGUGUGUGUGUGUGUGUGUGUGUGUGUGUGUGUGUGUGUGUGUGUGUGUGUGUUGCUGGCGGAGAGCUGUGUUUGCAGGCCUGAGGGGUUGUCUGUUAUCUUUGGUUAUCUAGCUGUAUGAGUGACGUACAUUCUUCAUAAAGCUACAUAACCGAAAGUAACAAGAAUCCCAUUACACGCCUGCACGGUGGAAGACAACUAAGUUAAAAAAAACACACAAAUAGAACCAGGAAUGGGCUCAGACGAUGGACUACAGUACAGGACAAUGACAUGAAGGUUUCUGAUCAGUCUGCAGUUGGGAAUCAUCAGAUCUUUGCCUCUCAGACUCUUUUGGAUUGUGACUUGAGUCUACUGAUGUUUGUUGCACACAGGACUACAUCAUUAACCGUGAAAAUACUGGAGGAAACACACAGAUUUUGUGAAAGCAGCCGGACAGUGGGCAGAGUUCAAAUGGUCAGGUCUUAAAACUGGUAAUAGAUACAAAAGUAACUGUUUUCAGCUGCAGCAGCAGAACAUCUGUUUCUGAAUGAAGACAGAAACAAACAAGACAGAAGAUUAAAACAAGUGGACAAACUGACAUUUGGCCAUCAUGAGGCUGGAACUGAGAGAGUAGAGUGCAACAAAGUGAUCUGUGUGUGUGUGUGUGUGUGUGUGUGUGUGUGUUUUCUCGGAAACUGCUCUGCACAGCUGUUUAGGAAACAAAAAUUCAGUCAUUAGAGAUUCAAAGUAAUUUUAAAAGGUUUAGAAGACGAUAAAAAAUACUUGCAGUUUUGAAUUUUGAAUUUUUACUAUUAUUCAUUAGUUUAACAACUUAUUCUCCUUUAGAUGGGAAUUUUAUCUUAGAUCUUAAAUCCUAAAUUUUACAUUAAUUUUUCUCACUUAUCUUUUGAAUCCUAUUCAUAUGUAAUUAUUACAGCUAGCAAUUAAAUGUGUAUCUUUAUCUCAUGUAAAACUUUGGAUGUUUCAAUCAAAUUGUUGACAAUCUGUGGAAAUUGUUCUUCUGGUGCAAUGUCAGAAAUUUUAUGGACUUGAUCCAUCAACUAUGAAUUGUUUUUCAAUCGUUCAGAUGAUUUGACCAUUUUCAUGGACAGGUGCAGUAUAUGUUUCACAUUUCAUCUCAUACCUAGAUAUUAGAGUGUUUAGUAAUUCUAUUCAAGGACUGUAUAACCUAAAAUGCUAAACAAUUAUUAUGUUAUUUUGCUCCUGCUACAGCCACCUAUCAUGUACAUCACAUUUUAUCUUUUUGAUUUUGUGUAUACAUCUUAAUUAAAUUGUAUUUUUUAUUUUUAGUUCAUACAUUUGAUUAAGAGCAACCAUCACUGCAUGAAGCAUUUUGUGCAAAACCACAAUAUAUUUGUUUUAUUUUUAACUAUGCAAAAGAAACAGGUUGGGGUUUUUGUUAAGUUUGCACUAUUUGCAUUUGUGUUUGCACAUGACUUGUAUUGUUAAGUUUGCACGUCACUGGCUAAAUACGGGUUCAGUUUGUGUGAGAGAAUUGUGAUGUUUUAUUAUCAUGCACUAUAUGAGCACAGGUGCAAUGUGUGUACUAUUGUUGAAGUGUAUUUUUAGUAGGUUUGAUUAGAAACAGUGAUAACCAGUAAUUGUCAAUCUCAGUGACUAAAAUUUGGAUUCAUUACACAUUUUAUUUGUUAAAUCAGCUCUUCUGACAAUCUAAUAUGAAUACUUGAAAACAUAGGAUUGUGUUUUGAUGAACUAUGGGGAAUGUGAAUAUGUGCAAUAGAUUUUAUGCAGUUUUUAAUACUAUUCAGUGAGAAAAAUGAUUAUAUUAGAAUGCACUAUGAACUACUGUUUCAGGGGUCGUAUAAGCAGGAUGUACACAUAAGAUGCUGUAAAUGUGCUUGAUAUCUGUACUAUGCAAUCGUUUCUACUGAAGUUAAUUUGAAAUCAAUAAAAGUAUGAAUGUUUACAAUGAGAAAAUAA